CCUGGCUCAGAUUGAACGUUGGCGGCAUGCUUUACACAUGCAAGUCGAACGGGGUUGGGAGCUUGCUUCCAAUCUAGUGGCGAACGGGUGAGUAAUACAUCGGAACGUACCGUGUAGUGGGGGAUAACGUAGCGAAAGUUACGCUAAUACCGCAUACGAUCCACGGAUGAAAGCAGGGGACCUUCGGGCCUUGUGCUAUACGAGCGGCCGAUGUCUGAUUAGCUAGUUGGUGAGGUAAAGGCUCACCAAGGCGACGAUCAGUAGCGGGUCUGAGAGGAUGAUCCGCCACACUGGGACUGAGACACGGCCCAGACUCCUACGGGAGGCAGCAGUGGGGAAUUUUGGACAAUGGGCGCAAGCCUGAUUCCAGCCAUGCCGCGUGUCUGAAGAAGGCCUUCGGGUUGUU
rnacentral:rRNA from 1 species